UGGUCUCAUUUGGUCAAAAAGAGGGACAUGUACCGUAAGGAUGCUUUUACAUACUUCAUUUAUGUGUAUGAAAUUACUUACUUGACAAUGUGUAUAAAAACUGUACUUGACUCUAACUAAGUGCUAUUUUUGCAUUGAUCAUGAUAGGAGCAUUUUUUUUUUUUUUUUUUUUUUUUUGAUGGGCCAUCACACAGUGGAUUUAUAAAAAUGAGAUUACAGAACAUCAGACGGUAGCUUCAACAGAGUUGAAGUGGGAGGACAUCAUCAAUUAAGAAUGCCAUUGACCAAACCUUCAGUCAUCAAAGAAGAUGGAUACAGGGGGACAUCCAGUUUUCCAGACUUACCGAUGGGAAAGAAGAAAUGGGAAUGUGACAAUUAUUGAGAAACUCAGGGAAAAAGCAUCUUUAGAGAAGAAAAUGGACAUCAGACAUUUAUUGAAGAAAGCUGACAGUCAACAUAAUGAUGAGAGCUGUGUUAUACAAUGUUAAGGAUACUCGUUCAUCUUCUGCUGUGUGAAUUCUGCUGUGUCAGUCCUGUGGGACUUGAUGCCGGCUGGUAGCAGUGUGACGUCUUUGCUUACUAAAUGAUCAAAGGGUGUCUGAAAUCAGCUCAGCCACAGUUGGUUUCCAACGGUUCUUCAGGACAUGGAGGCCACUACGUAACUGUUGCAAUGAACGAUUCUUUUGCCUUUCCACCUGAUGUUGACAAUCUGACCUGUGCGGUACUGAAAACCACUUGCACUGACAUAUCUUAAAAUAUAUCAGUGUCCUUUGUUUUGCCUCAAAAUGCACACCAGUAAUGUUUUUUGUUGAAACCAGUUAUAUUUCCUAAUUAAACUAAGGCCUAGUCCUGGAUUAAGCUAAUCCACUGUCCGGGAAACCGCCCCUAAAUGUUUUGUGACGGAAAUUUCUUUGAAUACACUUGUCAAGUUCAUUUUAAGUAUUUUUCUAAAUUUAAGAUAACAUGUUAAUGUUUCAGGACAAGUUAAAAAAUUUUGAUAAUUUGCAUGUUGGAAACGAUUUCAGACAUUGUUCUAUUCAACAUGUUUAGCACAGUUGCUUUUAAAUUCAAUGAAUUAUUUUAUAAAUAGUGUUUUAAAACGUAUCAAUGUAAUGUAUGUUUGAAGUUAUUAUACUUGCACUUACAUUUAUUUAAAUUAGCAUACAUCUAGCAACAUAGAGUACUAGCAUAUUUUCAUGCAAGCAUUAAUUGUCAAAUAUUUGUUAUUUUACAAAUAAAUAGUUUGUGAACAAUAUUCAAUAGUUGUCUGCUUGAUUUCAUAAUUUAAAGUUUACAAAUCAUAUGUUUUUUUUUCUCUUUAAUAUUAAAACUAAACAAUUACUCGGUAACACACAGUUGUGUUAGAUUAAUAGAAAGUUACACAUUAAUGUGUUUACUGAAGCAACACAUUUUUGUGUUGCAUUUUAUAACACAUAUUCUGUGUUAAAUUUAACUCAACAUGUGUUGUCCCUGCGCACACUCAGAACAUGUGUAAAAAAUAACACAUGUUGUGUUGUUUUUAACACAUUUGUUUUAAG